AAGAUUAUACUUUCAGGGAUCAUUUCUAUAGUGGGUUACUAGAGAAGUUUCUCUGAUCAUGUAGAGCACCUGACACCAAGAGGAGUCAGAGCAUCUCUCCUGAGGGUGAAGCUGGUUCUAGAUGUGACUGCUGUGGCUUCUGCGACUGCCUUUUGCCACUGAUGAUAGUUCUUCCCUUCCUUUGGAAGGGUUAGAGGGAGAGGAUGCAGUCUGAGU